UGCGUAGGCUGCGCGGAAAGUUGGGUGUGAAAGCCCUCAGCUCAACUGAGGAAUUGCACUCAAAACUACCGUGCUCGAGGGAGACAGAGGUAAGCGGAACUCAAGGUGGAGCGGUGAAAUGCGUUGAUAUCUUGAGGAACACCGGUGGCGAAGGCGGCUUACUGGGUCUCUUCUGACGCUGAGGCACGAAAGCCAAGGUAGCAAACG
rnacentral:rRNA from 1 species